AUGGUGAGGUGGCGUCAGCCCGCCCUGCCUGGGGACGCGGAGCGUGUUUGUGUUUGUGUUCGUGUCGGACACCACGCCCCUCCCACGUCCGUCCGCCUGGAACGGCCCCCACACCCACCCCACCCCCGACUCCCACCACCUGAAGCAAAACUGAUCGUUGUUUUGUUUUCCUCCCUCAGCCCCCGCAAACUGCGGUGUUCGUGCACGCACUUCCAGGGACCAGCAGCACGUCACCAUCACCUCCUGAGAACUAGGAAGAAGAAAAGAGGGGAGUUUGGUAAUGGCUGCCGAGAGAGUACACACAGGCAGAAUGACUCCACAUCAUACACCCAAGACCCAGAAGAGCAUUUAUUCAGAGAAACUUACAGAAGCAGGAAGAGGAGGAGGUAUGAGGUCCCUUCUUGGCCAACUGCUGUCUGAGACAGUGCACAGUGAUCUGGCGAGACCGCCAUCUAAACUCUGGGCGAAUAAACUGCACGCAGGAAGGUAGGCAUCAGCUCUGGUAUGACGAGGGCCUGCGGUCCAAGCCUUGGACUUCCGCCGUCAGGCCUUCUCAGCAUUCCUGUUUGCAGCGUGACCAGACCCUCCCUGGUGUGAACAGGAGCUCAGGUGCAAAUCUUGCAGUUCCAGGUGUCUGAUGCAUGGAGCCUUGGCCUCCCAUCAUGCCCCUCCACCUCAGUACUUUCUCAGGAUGCUUGCCAAGCAGCCCCACCCUGCAGGAAGCCAGCCUCACCCUGGGAGGCCUUCCAGGGGGAAGCGCCAGAUAAAUUAACCUUUACUCCUCAGUGCAGCAUAAACCUGAAGCCCUCUGAGGACCAGCUGGAAUGGAGAACAUCUCGUCAGAAUGUGUUUGUCUGGGCCUUCGUCCAACACAUCAAGUAUCUUGGCCGAUACUUACACUGUCAUCCUAUCAAUCAAAAGAAAUCGAUCAAAUAAAAAGCCUUUAUUUCGCAGCUCAGAGUCGUUCUCUCCCACACUUCUCCUGUGUAAAUUCUUGGUAGUUUGAUAAUAAGCAGAUAUGUUUCUUCUAGUAGCCUGAUUGCUCAAUCCCUCUGAGGUUUUUUCCUCCAUUGAUUUUGUCCUUUACCCUACCUCAGCCAGCCAUUCCCACAAUCACAUCGUAAAUCUUAUCAUUACCAAUAAUUGCCACUUAGUUAUUAUCUGAAUUUAACAUCCCCACUUCCUGUCAUUCCAGUUCACUCCCUUUAAAGUUCAACUUUAACAAUUCUCUCACCUCAUCAGGAUUUCUUUUUUCUUUUCUUUUCUUUUCUUUUUUUCUUUCUUUCUUUCUUUUUUUUUUUUUUUUUUAGAUAGAAGGCACAGGUGAGCAAGGGUAGAGUGAGACACAGGGAGAGAGAGAGAGAAGCAGGACUCAUCUGAAGCAGGACUCAAACCCACGAACCGUGAGAUCAUGAUCUGAGUCAAAGUCAAAAGCUUAACUGACUGAGCCACCCAGGCGCCACCCGCCCCCCUUAGGAUGUCUAGCCCAUUGAUCCGGCACAUCUUCCCUGUCCUUCACAUCCAUCCCUUCCUGUCUUCAAGUCUGUAACAACCACUAUCCUCAUUUCUGUGCACGUACCCUCAAUUCCUUUGCCUCUCUCUCACAUUAACUUGGAAAAACACAACUCUGAUGAAACCUAACUCCCUACCUACUUACUCUUCAUAGUUUGUGGUUGAAAGAAAGCACUCUGCCCUGCUAUUAGCUCCAUUUUAAAUUCGUAAUUACACACAUCAAAUGGCCUAAUGCUGCCUGGCAGUCUCACUGUAUUUCUCUGCUCCAUCCACCAUCCAGCUUUCCUACACCACUCUUUUCCACUUUCUCCUCUCUCUUCAAAUCCCUAACAAACCUCCUUCUCCAUCCCCGCCCUCUGAUGAUCCCCUUCCUUCUUACUUCCUUAAGAACAUUGAAGUACUCACGCGCGAAUUUCUUCCAACCCCUGCUACACAUUUACCCUGUGGCAGGAUCUGUACACAUAUAUGUUGCCUUUGUGCCUCUUCCUCGGAUGCGCUAUCCACGCAUCUAUCUAAGGCCAGUGCCUCCAGUCCCUUUCACGCAUAGGCAAAGGCAUCACUCUGGGAAAUUUCUUUUCCUCCUCUGAAAUUCAAAUUUCAC
ensembl:lncRNA